rnacentral:lncRNA from 1 species
GGUGAGAGACGAUGAAGUCGUGAGCCACUAGAAGUACCAUGGAGGAUAUGGAGAAGUAAUUCCAGUGAUAUUAAGGACACUCGAUGGCUGAUUAGAUGAGAGUGAGGAGUUAACAUACCUAGGUUUUUUGGACUGAACAACUUGGACAAACAGAAGGAAGACUAGAAUUAGGAACCGGGUGAUACCUCCAGCUUCGGAGAUGCCAGCUAUCUGGAAGAAACCGUCUAGGUUAUUGGGGUGUGCCCAUGCAGAUGUCUCCCGCACAUACUUUCUCAUUGCCUUGGUUUCACAGACACCUUGAAGGGCCACAGAGUCAUCCUUGCUCCCUGACUAAUGCUUGAAACAUCCCUCUUCGAGGUUUAUGCUGUGCCUUCACAGGAUGGUCCCCGAAACAAGAUGUGCAACAAGCCAGUCCUCCCCCAGCCUACACCAAGCUCUCAACUCUGCCCGAAGGAAAGUCUCCCUCCUGAUCUGCAAUGCUCUUAGUAAGCUUCACCAUGCAAACUGUGCCAGAAGUCAUGAGUCCAGGAGCCAGAGCUGCACGGCACACUUGGGCCUGAAGUGUUUCCUCUAUCACAGUAGUUUUUACCAGGGGUUGAUCUUGCCUCCCAGAGCACAUUUGCAAUGUCUAGAGACAUUUUGAUUAUCAUGACUGGAAAGUUGCUAUUCAUCUAAGGGGUAGGGGCCAGGGAUGCUGCUAAACAUCCUACAAUGCACAGGACAGCUCACAGUGAAGAUAAUGUGUUGGUGUUGCCAAAGUUGAGAACUCAAGUCUGCUCUACCAGAAUGCAGAAGGAAGUAUAAUGAACAAUCUUUCAAGCCAUGAGAAGACAGAAGCAGUCUUGUUGCUUUCAAUGUUUGAUCUCAAUUCUCUAUCUGCAGUGCCUCUUGGAGCCUGGUAACUGAAGAUGCUCUAAAAUCUGUGUCUCUAUAGAAUGAGAGACUGUCAAUAAAUGAAAGAGUGCGUGAAUGCU